UACGUAGGGUGCAAGCGUUAAUCGGAAUUACUGGGCGUAAAGCGUGCGCAGGCGGUUCUAUAAGACAGAUGUGAAAUCCCCGGGCUCAACCUGGGAACUGCAUUUGUGACUGUAGAGCUGGAGUACGGCAGAGGGGGAUGGAAUUCCGCGUGUAGCAGUGAAAUGCGUAGAUAUGCGGAGGAACACCGAUGGCGAAGGCAAUCCCCUGGGCCAAGACUGACGCUCAUGCACGAAAGCGUGGGGAGCAAACAGG
rnacentral:rRNA from 1 species